GGCAUUCUCGUCCACUUUUUGUGCUUUAAAAGGUCUGGGCUUUUGAUAUGUUGUAGUGCACUGAGUUAGGAAGCCAUAGGCUUUGGAAUGACCUCAUUCCGACCUCGGAUGAGGGAAUUACGGUGAUUGGAAGGAAAUGUGUCAAAACUGAAAGUCAGCAGCGGGAUGUGCUAUUCGGGACACUGUUUCGAUCAGUUAAUUUUUCCAAAACCUUCUG
rnacentral:lncRNA from 1 species